CAGAAUUUUCUUGGAAGAGAAAAGCCUUGGUGAGCUGAGAUCCAGUGAUGCUACUACCUCCACUACCAUUCCUGCUGGCUCAUUUCCUUGGUCAUUCCAGACAAUUUUGUAUCUAGGAGAAGCCUCAUCUUUCCAGGACGUGAUUGUUAGACAUCCAAUCCCUUUCUGAUGCCUGCACAGCUGUCUGUCACUGAGCAGACUACAGAAAACAGAUCCUGUGUGGAACAUCAUUGCCUUUGGUAAAGAAAGAAGACCACGAGGAAGCUCCUUGAGGACUUCAAUAUUGUCAUUCUAAAAUACUGCUAAGUGCUAAAAUUGGUGUAAUCAACUAGAAAACCUCUGGACACCUUUUUUGUCCCUAUCUCCAGUACUAUCAUUAAGAUUGACAGUACAAAAUAUUAGAUGUAAACAGGAAUUCCCAACAGCUUUUCAAGAAAGGUGUCUUGCUGUUUUUAUUUUAUGAGGUUUAGUGACAUCUAAAGCUUACACCUGAUUUACAAGUAUUUUUCUUUUUACACUUUUAUUAUAGUUUUGUGUCCUUCUUCUUUUGCGUCCUUACAAAGUUCUGAGUUCCAAUUACAAUAACCUACCUUAAAGGACAGCUUCUCAAUGUUAUUUUUCUGUGAGAAUAACAACAGUACUGUCUGCACAGAGGAGAAAUGCUUAGCCUGCAUUAAGCUCCACACUAGCUUGAUUAAACCACUAUUAUACCAAACCAGCUUUUUUAAAAAUAGCUGAGACAUGAAAGUUUAUGACUGAAGCACAGACCCAGUCUUUGGGUGGUCAAUUAACAUGGAUUUCAUUACAAUCAAAACAUGCUAAGCCUUUGAAAAAUAAAUAAAUAAAAUAUAUAUUUAAAGACAGCAUCUUUGUAAGUAGGAUUUUCAUGAAGGACACAAAAACAUAAUGAGAAUUAUUUAUGCCAACAGCAUAUCAUUAUUUUGUCUUCAAUAAGAUGAUUUAACACACCUUGAAAUGAGUGUCUAAUAUAGGCAACAUUCUCUGAGAAGGGUGCCCACAGGAUUAUGUUGAGCUAGGAGAGAUUCUGAGGGAGAUUCUGUAUGGGACCAAGUUUAGGUGAGAUGAAUCCCUCUCAAUGGUUUUUGGAACUGGGAAGGUCAGCAGCCUCUCUUUUUCACUAGGCAAAUAAAAUGUUUGGGGAAACCAGCAGGAAAAUCGCACAAAAGAAUGAAAGCUAUAGCUACUGUGAGACAUUAUUUUCUUAAAAGAACCUGGGCCAUGUGUUAAGAAGGUGGCCACUGCCUUUAUUAAUAUUAAUUUGUUUCUGUCAUUUUUCUUAAGAGCUAUUUCUCUAUCACAUGUAUACAGAGAAAAAGGUAAGACUCAGGGUCAGGUCAUGGCUUAUUCAGCCCACAGGGAAGUGUACUGAUACGCUUUCGGCCUGGAAUGCCACAACCAACUGUAUUUAGCAGAAAGGAGGCUCCACAGAGAUGUAUUUCCUCACUCGGGUGACCAGGGAGUCCAGGAGUGGGGAAUAUUCAAAGUCUAUAUACCUUUAGUAUACUUUCUGACAUGAAGUAUGGCAGGGGGGAUGCAGUGGUUUGGGUGCAGAUUGAGGCUUCUUUGGAGAAGCUGGGCGAUGAAGAGAUAGUCAGUGACCCCCUAAGUCACAAUUUCCAUCUCAGGUUGAUACUGGGGCAACACAACUGCUCUGUAGGUUGAAAGCAGCAGUAAUGAAUGCCCUUCAGUAUUUAGUUUGUCAUUUCCCCCCACCUUUCCUUUCUUAUUAAGAAGGCAAUUCAUUUCACAUUUCAGUGAAAGGAAAGACCCCUGCAGACAGCAUGGAAGCUGGAUCAUGCUGCAACACAGUUAAUGUUACAGGACAGCACAGUGUUGCCAGCAGAACUAAUCCCAGCAGUGGCAUAUCAAAUCACCCCAUUUCCAUUUAGCAUUCAUCAGUAUCAUACACAGGCAGAUAUGGAUUUGAUCCGUGGAAUGGCAUUUGCCUUUGAUGUUCUUUAUUUAUUUAUUUAUUUUUAAAAUUCUAUUCCUCUACAUCAUGUAUUCAGCACUAAUAGGAAAUUUCUUUUCAGGAAUGAGUUCCAUUCAGUUGCUGAGCAUGUAUCAGCUACACUGCUGAUCAGCAGUGUGAUAGGGAAAUUUUAGGUUUUUUUUCCUCUGCAUAAACUUUGUCCCUUUUUCUCUGCUUUGUGUGGCUGUUCAUUUUUGACAUUUAGCAACUUAGUUGCUGCAAUUGUUCCAGAGAUUGCUUUGAUAUUUGCUCUUUUGUUGUGUUAAUAGAACCACUAGUCUCUCUUACUUUGACCUUGCAUUAUUUUGUCAAGGCUUUCAGGCUCCACAUUCUUCUGUAUAGGCAGUCCUAAUUUUCUUAAAGCUUUAAUUACAGAUUAGCCCUUCCUCCAGCACUGAAAAUGAAUUUGUUGAGCCUGUUUUAUGACAUUUACCAGAGACAAAGCUAACAUUCUUUUUUUUUUUUUUUUUCUGGUCAUGUAAUUGGUCAUUAUUUGAGUUAGCUUGCCAUUGUGUUUCAGUCAUGCACCCUGGAACAAAGUGAGAUAUUUAUUUUUUUCCAUAUAUUCAGUCUCACUGCUUCUGUGUUGAUUUUGUGGUUAGACACUUCUAGAUGUGGCCCAGUCAGAACUUUUAGCUUUUCUUCCAGUUUCCACAGCAUAAAAAUCUAUUUUGGCAUACAGUUCAUUUUUUUUUUAAUUGAAGUGUUUUCUGCCAGCAGUAUAAUUUUAGCUGCUACUGGAUAGACUGAAUAUGCUUUUACCCCUAUAGGAAAACUUAAAGUUUGGAAUAGGAAUACAUUCAAACACUACUGUGAGCUUGGAAAUAAUGUUUCAGAGGAGAACAUGGACAGACUUGAGAAUGUGAACAUUUAUGCUGCAUUUUUAGAGCUCCUUUCACAUCGAAGUCAUUUUCAUCAAUAACCACAUUACUGCCUCAGUGACCUAACACUUCUCAACUCUUAACCGUAAUCUGACUGAACUUCAUGGUGUGUUUCAGGCAUGCUGUAUAGCUGAAUCUUGUAUGAUUUUCUUCUCUUCCUAUCAUGGAGUGUCAUGAAGGCAUUCAAAAAAUCAGGUCAGACAGGUAAUGAACUCAAGGCAAGUUUAUUCUAACCAAAAUUAUUCAGCAGAAAACCAAAUAGAAACAGAGUUUAUCCAAAAUCAUUCAACACUUUCACAACAUUUUAAAUCACAGGUUCACGAUACUGGUUGGGGUUCAAUCACUGCAUGGUCAACACAGGUUUAGGGGAUCCCUGAAAUUUGGAAUGGUGAUUCAAAAUGCACACUCACUCAUAAGACAAGGACUCUCAAGGGUAACCCAGAAUGUACAGUCACUCACCAGUAAGGCAAGGGUACUCAAUCCUCGAGGAAGUUGCCUUGGGCAGUAUCUCAACCCAAGGGGAGAGUCCUUGACUGCAGACUUAUUGCUCUGAGGAGGACCAACU